UACGUAGGGUGCGAGCGUUGUCCGGAAUUAUUGGGCGUAAAGAGCUCGUAGGCGGUGUGUCGCGUCGGCCGUGAAAACCUGGGGCUCAACUCUGGGCGUGCGGUCGAUACGGGCAUCACUUGAGUUCGGCAGGGGAGACUGGAAUUCCUGGUGUAGCGGUGAAAUGCGCAGAUAUCAGGAGGAACACCGGUGGCGAAGGCGGGUCUCUGGGCCGAUACUGACGCUGGAGGAAGCGAAAGCCGUGGGGAGCAAAAGGG
rnacentral:rRNA from 1 species